rnacentral:rRNA from 1 species
UACGGAGGAUGCGAGCGUUAUCCGGAUUUAUUGGGUUUAAAGGGUGCGUAGGCGGGAUGCCAAGUCAGCGGUAAAAAUGCGGUGCUCAACGCCGUCGAGCCGUUGAAACUGGCGUUCUUGAGUGGGCGAGAAGUAUGCGGAAUGCGUGGUGUAGCGGUGAAAUGCAUAGAUAUCACGCAGAACUCCGAUUGCGAAGGCAGCAUACCGGCGCCCUACUGACGCUGAGGCACGAAAGCGUGGGUAUCAAACAGG